rnacentral:rRNA from 1 species
AUACUGCAGUCGAGCGAAUCUUUGGGAGCUUGCUCCCAAUGGUUAGCGGCGGACGGGUGAGUAACACGUGGGCAACCUGCCUGUAAGACUGGGAUAACUUCGGGAAACCGGAGCUAAUACCGGAUAAUUCAUUUCCUCUCAUGAGGAAAUGCUGAAAGACGGUUUCGGCUGUCACUUACAGAUGGGCCCGCGGCGCAUUAGCUAGUUGGUGAGGUAACGGCUCACCAAGGCAACGAUGCGUAGCCGACCUGAGAGGGUGAUCGGCCACACUGGGACUGAGACACGGCCCAGACUCCUACGGGAGGCAGCAGUAGGGAAUCUUCCACAAUGGACGAAAGUCUGAUGGAGCAACGCCGCGUGAGCGAUGAAGGCCUUCGGGUCGUAAAGCUCUGUUGUUAGGGAAGAACAAGUACCGGAGUAACUGCCGGUACCUUGACGGUACCUAACCAGAAAGCCACGGCUAACUACGUGCCAGCAGCCGCGGUAAUACGUAGGUGGCAAGCGUUGUCCGGAAUUAUUGGGCGUAAAGCGCGCGCAGGCGGUCCUUUAAGUCUGAUGUGAAAGCCCACGGCUCAACCGUGGAGGGUCAUUGGAAACUGGGGGACUUGAGUGCAGAAGAGGAAAGCAGUA